rnacentral:rRNA from 1 species
UUUUAAUAUAUCUAGUUUUUUAAGAAAUUAAUUUAAUUUAAAUAUUUAAUUUUAAUUUUUUAUUUUCUUUAGAAAGUUAUAAUUAAAUAUUAAUAUUUUAAGGGAUGAGCUUUAAAAUAAAAAUUUAUAAAUAAUUUUUAUUAAUUUAAUAAUUGUAAGCUUAGAAUUAGUUAUCAAUAGAAAUUAUGUUUUAAUUUAUUUUUAAAAUUAAUAUUAUUUAAUAUUUAUUUUAUUUUUUAUAUUAAAAUAUAAAUUUUAAUUUUGUAAAUUUAUUAAUAAUGAUAAAAUUAGUAAAUAUAAUAAUUAUAUAAAUAAAUUUUAUAAUGAUUGGUUUUUAUAAUUAAUUCGGCAAAUUUUGUGCUCACCUGUUUAUCAAAAACAUGUCUUUUUAGUAUUUAAUAUAAAGUCUGACCUGCCCACUGAAUAAUGUUUAAAGGGCCGCAGUAUUUUGACUGUGCAAAGGUAGCAUAAUCAUUAGUCUUUUAAUUAAAGGCUGGUAUGAAUGGUUGGAUGAGGUACAAACUGUGUCAUAAAAAUUAGUAUUUGAAUUUAACUUUUUAGUCAAAAGGCUAAAAUAAUUUUAAAAGACGAGAAGACCCUAUAGAGCUUUAUAUAAUAAAUAUUUAAAUUAUUAAGUUUUAUUAAAUUUGAUUUUUAUAUUAUAUUUUGUUGGGGUGACAAUAAAAUUUAUAAAACUUUUAUUUUUAUUUUACAUUAAUUUAUGAUUAUAUGAUCCAGUUUUAUUGAUUAUAAAUUUAAGUUACCUUAGGGAUAACAGCGUAAUUUUUUUUGAGAGUUCUUAUCGACAAAAAAGAUUGCGACCUCGAUGUUGGAUUAAGAGUCAUUUUGGGUGUAGAAGUUCAAAGUUUAAGUCUGUUCGACUUUUAAAUUCUUACAU